rnacentral:tRNA from 1 species
GCGCCUGUAGCUUAAUUGGAUAGAGCGUCAGUCUUCGGAACUGAAGGUUGCAGGUUCAAGUCCUGCCAGGCGCA